rnacentral:rRNA from 1 species
CCUACGGGAGGCAGCAGUAGGGAAUCUUCCACAAUGGGCGAAAGCCUGAUGGAGCAACGCCGCGUGGGUGAAGAAGGUCUUCGGAUCGUAAAACCCUGUUGUUAGAGAAGAAAGUGCGUGAGAGUAACUGUUCACGUUUCGACGGUAUCUAACCAGAAAGCCACGGCUAACUACGUGCCAGCAGCCGCGGUAAUACGUAGGUGGCAAGCGUUAUCCGGAUUUAUUGGGCGUAAAGGGAACGCAGGCGGUCUUUUAAGUCUGAUGUGAAAGCCUUCGGCUUAACCGGAGUAGUGCAUUGGAAACUCGGAGACUGGAGUGCAGAAGAGGAGAGUGGAACUCCAUGUGUAGCGGUGAAAUGCGUAGAUAUAUGGAAGAACACCAGUGGCGAAAGCGGCUCUCUGGUCUGUAACUGACGCUGAGGUUCGAAAGCGUGGGUAGCAAACAGGAUUAGAUACCCCUGUAGUC